rnacentral:rRNA from 1 species
AACGAACGCUGGCGGCAUGCCUAACACAUGCAAGUCGAACGAAGCCUUCGGGCUUAGUGGCGCACGGGUGCGUAACGCGUGGGAAUCUGCCCCUUGCCUCGGAAUAACAGUUAGAAAUGACUGCUAAUACCGGAUGAAGUCUUCGGACCAAAGAUUUAUCGGCAAGGGAUGAGCCCGCGUAGGAUUAGGGAGUUGGUGGGGUAAAGGCCUACCAAGCCGACGAUCCUUAGCUGGUCUGAGAGGAGGAUCAGCCACACUGGGACUGAGACACGGCCCAGACUCCUACGGGAGGCAGCAGUGGGGAAUAUUGGACAAUGGACGCAAGUCUGAUACAGCAAUGCCGCGUGAGUGAUGAAGGCCUUAGGGUUGUAAAGCUCUUUUACCAGGGAUGAUAAUGACAGUACCUGGAGAAUAAGCUCCGGCUAACUCCGUG